rfam:Vigna radiata var. radiata cultivar VC1973A chromosome 11, whole genome shotgun sequence
AGAUCUGUAAGCUCAAAACGGUAGAGCGAUCAGAGCAUUUUGUCAUAUGGCAACCUUGUGCUCUGGUAGGAUGGUGGUUCGAAUCCACCCUGAUCUG